UCGUAGUUGGAUUCCUGGCCUGGGGUAGCCGGUCCGCCUUGCAAAAGGUGCGCACUGUGCGGCCUCGGCCAUCCUUGAGAAGAGCUGUUCUGGCAUUCAGUUGUCGGGGCGGGGAUUCUCGACGUUUACUGUGAAAAAAUCAGAGUGUUCAAAGCAGGCUUACGCCUUGAAUACAUUAGCAUGGAAUAAUGAGAUAGGACCUUGGCGGUCUAUUUUGUUGGUUUGCACGCCGAGGUAAUGAUUAAAAGGGACGGUUGGGGUUCUUCGUAUUCAAUUGUCAGAGGUGAAAUUCUUGGAUUUAUGGAAGACGAACUGCUGCGAAAGCGUCGAACAAGGACGUUCUCAUUAAUCAAGAACGAAAGUUAGGGGAUCGAAGAUGAUUAGAUACCAUCGUAGUCUUAACCAUAAACUAUGCCGAUUCAGGAUUGGCGGUCGUUUGUUCUCGACUCCGUCAGCACUGUAUGAGAAAUCAAAAUCUUUGGGUUCCGGGGGGAGUAUGG
rnacentral:rRNA from 1 species